rnacentral:rRNA from 1 species
GGACGGGUGAGUAACGCGUGAGAAUCUACCUUUAGGACGGGGACAACAAUUGGAAACGAUUGCUAAUACCCGAUAUGCCCUUCGGGGUGAAAUGUUUUAUCGCCUGAAGAUGAGCUCGCGUCCGAUUAGCUAGUAGGUAGUGUAAUGGACUACCUAGGCGAUGAUCGGUAGCUGGUUUGAGAGGACAAUCAGCCACACUGGGACUGAGACACGGCCCAGACUCCUACGGGAGGCAGCAGUGGGGAAUUUUCCGCAAUGGGCGCAAGCCUGACGGAGCAAUACCGCGUGGGGGAGGAAGGUCUGUGGAUUGUAAACCCCUUUUCUCAGGGAAGAAGCUCUGACGGUACCUGAGGAAUCAGCAUCGGCUAACUCCGUGCCAGCAGCCGCGGUAAUACGGAGGAUGCAAGCGUUAUCCGGAAUUAUUGGGCGUAAAGCGUCCGCAGGCGGCUAGAUAAGUCUGCUUUCAAAGAGUGGGGCUCAACCCCAUAGGGGGAGUGGAAACUGUUUAGCUAGAGUAUGGUAGGGGCAGAGGGAAUUCCCAGUGUAGCGGUGAAAUGCGUAGAUAUUGGGAAGAACACCAGUGGCGAAGGCGCUCUGCUGAC